CAGUAUGAACCAGUACAGACCAGUAUGGACCAGUAGGAGUCAAUAUAAAACCGAUUAUGAACCAGUAUGGACCAGUAUCAGCUAGAAGCAUGGGCCAUUAGGCAUCAGUAUGGAUGAGCAUGAACCAGUAUGGACCAGUAUGGACCAGUAUAAACCAGCAUGGACCAGUGUAAAACAGUACGGACCAGUAGGAACUAGUAUGGACCAGUAUGAACCAGUAUAAUCCAGUACAGACCAGUACAGACCAGUACAGCUGCCCAGGACACUGCUGUACCCUCCCAGUGCCUUCCCAGUUCCCUCCCAGUCCAUUCCAUUCCCCCCCAGUCCCCUCCCAGUCCCUCCCAGUGCCCCCCAGUCCCUCCCAAUCCCCUCCCAGCCCCUCCCAGUCCCUUCCCAGUAUGGACCAGUAACCCCCAAUUCCCUCCCCGUCUCCUUCCAGUCCCUCCCAGUGCCCCCCAUUCCAUUCUAACACCCCCCAGUUCCCUCCCAGUGCCCCCCAGUCCCUCCCAAUCCCCUCCCAGCCCCUCCCAGUCCCUCCCAGUGCUCCCAGUUCCCCCACCUGCCCCUCCACGGUGGUUCCCAGUAACACGAAGAGCUCUCCCAGUUCGCGCAGGCCCCGCUCCAGCCGCAGCAGCUCCUGGUGCCGCGCCGUCACCUCGUCCAGCGCCGCCCGCGUCGCCCGCGCCGCCCCCAGCACCUGCGCCAGCACCCAUGGGUGCCCCCCUGACACCCAUGGGUGCCCCCGACCCCCACCCGGACUCCCCCCGACGCCCAUGGGUGCCCCCCGACGCCCAGGGGUGGCCCCCCGAGACCCAGGGGUGCGCCCGUUGUCCCGGUGUCUGAGUGGUGGUGGGGGUGGGGAGGGGCACCCAUGGGUGCUACUGGGCACCCAUGGGUGCUAUAGGGCAGGUAGGGGACCCUUGGAUGUGUAUGGGUGCUACUGGGCACCCAUGGGUGCUACUGGGAAGGUGUGGGACCUCUGGGCACCCAUGGGUGCUAUAGGGCAGGUAGGGGACCUCUGGAUGUGUAUGGGUGCUACUGGGCACCCAUGGGUGCUACUGGAGCCCUGUAAGACCUUGAGGGACCCAUGGGUGCUACGGGACACCCAUGGGUGCUAUAGGGCAUCCUUGGCCCCUUUGGGUCCCUAUGGGUGCCCCCGGCUACCUAUGGCACCCAUGGGUGCUGGGGGGGACCUAUGGGUGCUAUGGGGCACCCAUGGGUGCUACGGGACACCCAUGGGUGCUAUAGGGCACCCUUGGCCCCUUUGGGUGCCACCAGCUACCUAUGGCACCCAUGGGUGCUGGGGGGGGGCGGUGGGACCUGUGCCCCCCCCCAGCCCCACCCCCCCCCCCCCGCCCCCCUGGGGCCCCCCCCCCCCCACCCCAGCACCCAUGGGUGCCCCCCUCACGUUGGAGACGAAGACUUCGCUCUGCCCCGUCUCCAGCAUCUCCUCCAGCUCCUCGUCCGUCACCGCCGAAUU
rnacentral:lncRNA from 1 species